rnacentral:lncRNA from 1 species
UCUGAUUCUCCCUCAACUACCCCCACUUCCCCUUUUAAAAGGGAACUCCCUCAACCCCAAGAGAUACGUACAUUGAACACAGAGAAAAAAAACACAAAGAAGAUCAGAUAACCGGAGAGAGGAAAAACAUCAGACAAAGAGAAAAAGGAAGAAAAAGAGUGACAACCUGAGUUUAAGUUCGGUUUCCAUUUGAGUUUCUGGUGGCAAUAUUUCAUUUCUUAUAUCCGUUUAAUUCAUAUCAUAGGUUUUGUUCGAUCCUGUUUUUUUUUCUUUAUGAAUUUUGUUGUAAAUUAAAUCGUAAAUAAAGUUGUUUCUGUGAUUC